rnacentral:rRNA from 1 species
UACGAAGGGGGCGAGCGUUGUUCGGAUUUACUGGGCGUAAAGGGUGCGUAGGCGGCGCGGAAAGUUGGGUGUGAAAUCCCUCGGCUUAACCGAGGAACUGCGCCCAAAACUACCGUGCUUGAGGGAGAUAGAGGUGAGCGGAACUUAGGGUGGAGCGGUGAAAUGCGUUGAUAUCCUAAGGAACACCGGUGGCGAAAGCGGCUCACUGGAUCUCUUCUGACGCUGAGGCACGAAAGCUAGGGUAGCGAACGGG